AUUGAACGCUGGCGGCAGGCUUAACACAUGCAAGUCGAGCGGGGUGAUGGUGCUUGCACUAUCACUUAGCGGCGGACGGGUGAGUAAUGCUUAGGAAUCUGCCUAUUAGUGGGGGACAACAUCUCGAUAGGGAUGCUAAUACCGCAUACGUCCUACGGGAGAAAGCAGGGGAUCACUUGUGACCUUGCGCUAAUAGAUGAGCCUAAGUCGGAUUAGCUAGUUGGUGGGGUAAAGGCCUACCAAGGCGACGAUCUGUAGCGGGUCUGAGAGGAUGAUCCGCCGCACUGGGACUGAGACACGGCCCAGACUCCGACGGGAGGCAGCAGUGGGGAAUAUUGGACAAUGGGGGGAACCCUGAUCCAGCCAUGCCGCGUGUGUGAAGAGGGCCUUAUGGUUGUAAAGCACUUUAAGCGAGGAGGAGGCUCUUUUGGUUAAUACCCAAGAUGAGUGGACGUUACUCGCAGAAUAAGCACCGGCUAACUCUGUGCCAGCCGCCGCGGUAA
rnacentral:rRNA from 1 species